UAUGUCUAGCCCAACUAGGGUUAACCUAGGUGAGUGCUGGAAUUCAUUAUCGAUCAUCCGUUCUAGAUCAAUCUUCUACUCUGUAAAAGGAGUUGGAAAUCAAUUGAAUAUCUAGAUCUUUUACUUUGAACAAAUUAGAGUGUUUCAAGCAGGCGUUGUUUGCGUUGAAUACAUUAGCAUGGAAUAAUCGAAUAGGACUUUGGUUCUACUUUUCGUUGGUUUCAAGAACUAAAGUAAUGAUUGAUAGGGAUAGUUGGGGGUGCUAGUAUUCAGUGGCCAGAGGUGAAAUUCUUGGAUUCACUGAAGACUAACUAAUGCGAAAGCAUU
rnacentral:rRNA from 1 species